rnacentral:tRNA from 1 species
ACAAGGAGACCUACUAUGAAAGAAGUACCCAAAGAAAUAACUUUCAUAGACAAGGCAGGUCGGUCGAGGAAUUUAUGAGGCUUUCAAACUAUCAAUUGGUUCGGAGUAUGGGCUAUUAGCUCAGGUGGUUAGAGCGCACCCCUGAUAAGGGUGAGGUCCCUGGUUCAAGUCCAGGAUGGCCCACCUAACCCCAAAACCCCAAAAGCUGGGGGUAUAGCUCAGUUGGUAGAGCGCUGCCUUUGCAAGGCAGAUGUCAGCGGUUCGAGUCCGCUUACCUCCACCAAAAAACCUUCCCAAAUUUCUGAUGCAAAUUAAAAAACUUGUGUUAGAAUAGUAGACCGAGCCAAAAAAACUCCUCAGCACCUCCAACGGCACAAAACGUAGAGAAUGCUGGUGAGUAACCAGUAUGAACCUUGAAAACUGCAUAGCAACAGAAAAUUGCAGGGAUUCUGGAUGACUUUGAGCAAUCAAAGACAUCAAAAAUCUCUUCAAGACAAUCCAAAGAAUGUAAUAA